CAGCAAAACCCAACCACCACCACCACCAACAACAACAUGCAUUCCCCUGUACAGGGAGUCACUCUCAACUUCCCCUUGGGGAACACGUUAUUUUUCCAGCGGUUAGCUGAGGUACCCCUUGUGGAGCGAUCAGAGAGAGGACUGCAACUAGGCAGGGCCCAUUAUGUGGCAACCGUCAUCCCUGAAGCAAGGCCACACACCUCAUCUUCUCAUUUUACCUCGGUGUCAUGCUAUGGUAUUAGAAGAUGGAGACCUUGAGAAGUAAUUGUGACAAAAGAAUGGAGUAUUCAUGAAUAAGUUUAAUGCCCUUACUGAAAGGACCCCAGGUACUCCCCCCACCUGCUCUGUGCUUUGCAUUGGAUGGCAUAGGUAGAAGCUGCCAUAAUUGUCCAGGAACUGAACCAUCACCUGACCUUCGAUCCACCUGCACAUCAAUCUUGGGCUUCCAGCUUCCAGAACUUUGAGUAAUACACUUCUGUUGCUGAUAAGAUA